UGGGGAAUUUUGCACAAUGGGGGAAACCCUGAUGCAGCGACGCCGCGUGAUUUAGAAGGCCUUCGGGUUGUAAAAAUCUUUUCUAUGGGAAGAAAAUGACAGUACCAUAGGAAUAAGGACCGGCUAAUUACGUGCCAGCAGCCGCGGUAAUACGUAAGGUCCGAGCGUUGUCCGGAAUCAUUGGGCGUAAAGGGUACGUAGGCGGGUAAGCAAGUUAGAAGUGAAAUCCUAUAGCUCAACUAUAGUAAGCUUUUAAAACUGCUCAUCUUGAGGUAUGGAAGGGAAAGUGGAAUUCCUAGUGUAGCGGUGAAAUGCGCAGAUAUUAGGAUGGAUAGCGGUGGCGAAGGCGACUUUCUGGCCAUAACCUGACGCUGAGGUACGAAAGCGUGGGUAGCAAACAGG
rnacentral:rRNA from 1 species